UACGUAGGGGGCUAGCGUUAUCCGGAAUUACUGGGCGUAAAGGGUGCGUAGGUGGUUUCUUAAGUCAGAGGUGAAAGGCUACGGCUCAACCGUAGUAAGCCUUUGAAACUGGGAAACUUGAGUGCAGGAGAGGAGAGUGGAAUUCCUAGUGUAGCGGUGAAAUGCGUAGAUAUUAGGAGGAACACCAGUUGCGAAGACGGCUCUCUGGACUGUAACUGACACUGAGGCACGAAAGCGUGGGGAGCAAACAGG
rnacentral:rRNA from 1 species